AGCGAACGCUGGCGGCAGGCCUAACACAUGCUAGUCGAACGAACCUUUCGGGGUUAGUGGCGGACGGGUGAGUAACACGUGGGAACGUGCCUUUAGGUUCGGAAUAACUCAGGGAAACUUGUGCUAAUACCGAAUGUGCCCUUCGGGGGAAAGAUUUAUCGCCUUUAGAGCGGCCCGCGUCUGAUUAGCUAGUUGGUUGAGGUAAUGGCUCACCAAGGCGACGAUCAGUAGCUGGUCUGAGAGGAUGAUCAGCCACAUUGGGACUGAGACACGGCCCAAACUCCUACGGGAGGCAGCAGUGGGGAAUCUUGCGCAAUGGGCGAAAGCCUGACGCAGCCAUGCCGCGUGAAUGAUGAAGGUCUUAGGAUUGUAAAAUUCUUUCACCGGGGACGAUAAUGACGGUACCCGGAGAAGAAGCCCCGGCUAACUUCGUG
rnacentral:rRNA from 1 species